AGAGUUUGAUCCUGGCUCAGGACGACGCUGGCGGCGUGCUUAACACAUGCAAGUCGAACGGUGACCUCGGAGCUUGCUCCGGGCGAUCAGUGGCGAACGGGUGAGUAACACGUGAGUAACCUGCCCCAGACUCUGGGAUAACCCCGGGAAACCGGAGCUAAUACCGGAUACGACACGAAGAGGCAUCUCUAUCGUGUGGAAAGUUUUUCGGUCUGGGAUGGACUCGCGGCCUAUCAGCUAGUUGGUGAGGUAACGGCUCACCAAGGCGACGACGGGUAGCCGGCCUGAGAGGGCGACCGGCCACACUGGGACUGAGACACGGCCCAGACUCCUACGGGAGGCAGCAGUGGGGAAUAUUGCACAAUGGGCGAAAGCCUGAUGCAGCGACGCCGCGUGGGGGAUGACGGCCUUCGGGUUGUAAACCCCUUUCAGCAGGGAAGAAGCGAAAGUGACGGUACCUGCAGAAGAAGCACCGGCUAACUACGUG
rnacentral:rRNA from 1 species